CUUAAACGCAGCACAUGUUGCGGCCAGCAGCCAGCGGCAGCAGACCGGUAUCCGAGCGGCACAGCGCCGCAUCACACAGAACUGAGUGCGUCAGAAACAGCCGAGAAACGCUGCGAUUCUCCGCUUUAGUUCCCAGUGACUCAGUGCCAGCAGCGGAGCAGCUAUGCUCUAGAACAUGUAGGAGUCGACUGUUUCUUUUUAAGCCACCAUUUUCUUUUUUAUUUUCCUUUUUUGUACUUUUAUCGGAUAGCCCGCAAACUGUGAAACCUCUUGUCACGCCGUCGUCGGGAGUCCCCAUUCAUCUUAGGUCGCUUGUAUCGUUGAACCGAGCGGCAAACUUUGGUGAAAACUACACAGCAACUCAGCCGUCGUCGUUAUUCAAAGGACUCUGUGACAUAUUUGGCCUGACACCACUUUCACCAUGAGGAUGAACUGAAGACCACGGUCCAUGCCUGAAGACCAUCAAAGACCAAUCGCUAAAGAAGAACAGGCUGAGAUCUCCGUAAACUUAUUAUCCCAUUGAGUAUUCAAUACAUGCUCCUGGAGAGAGUGACAUAGAGUCAGGGAUCCUUUCCUCGUCUUUACAGUGUAGCAGUCUGCGUCCACAAAUCCCAAGGAUUCAGCCCCCCGUCUGUGCCCUAUUGUAGAAACAAAUGUACCCUCUAAAGGAAAGUGAGGAAUUGGUAGCAAACUCUGGAGGCACAUUUGGCCUUCUUCCCCUCUACUACAGAAGCUGAUUGCACCUGGUUUUCAAAGUUGGAAUUUUUCAAAGGCCUUGUCCAGACUGGAAGUACAAUGUGCCAAAGACUUUUCAGCCUUUUUUUUUUUUUUUUUUUUUUAAAUGAACUUUUUGAACAGGCCAUUAACUUUAUAAAUCUUUGGGAUUGCUGUUCCUGUAUUAUGGUUUCCAUGUAAAUGCAAAGACUGGUCCAAGUUUCCCUCCAGAUGCAGAGCUGCUGAUGUGACCUUGUGUUAUUGUGAUGCCUGAAUUGUCAUAUAACCUUAAACAUUUCCUAUAAAAUGUUAGAAUUUAUUAUAAACAGACCAAUCAGCUGGAAGAGUGUCAGCUGACUAUAAAGCUAAAUGCAUAAUGUUGUCUGUUUAUUGAUGGGGGUGAACUGAACUAUAAAAUGUGAAAUGGGACAGGAGAAUAAAGGUAUUGUGCCAGAACAAUUUCCUUUUGAAGUUUUUGGGGAAGAUUUUGAUCUCCUGGCGGCUUGCCA